rnacentral:rRNA from 1 species
AGAAUCAACGCUGGCGGCGUGCCUAACACAUGCAAGUCGAACGAGAAAGUGGGAGCAAUCCCAUGAGUAAAGUGGCGCACGGGUGAGUAACACGUGACUAACCUACCCUUGAGUGGGGGAUAACCUAGGGAACCUGGGCUAAUACCGCAUAAUACCUACGGGUCAAAGGAGCAAUUCGCUUUAGGAGGGGGUCGCGGCAGAUUAGUUAGUUGGCGGGGUAAUGGCCCACCAAGACGAUGAUCUGUA